rnacentral:rRNA from 1 species
CGUGUAGGCGGUUUGUUAAGUCUGAUGUGAAAGCCCCGGGCUCAACCUGGGAAGUGCAUUGGAUACUGGCAGACUUGAAUACGGGAGAGGGCAGUGGAAUUCCUGGUGUAGGAGUGAAAUCCGUAGAUAUCAGGAGGAACACCGGUGGCGAAGGCGGCUGCCUGGACCGAUAUUGACGCUGAGACGCGAAAGCGUGGGUAGCAAACAGGAUUAGAUACCCUGGUAGUCCACGCCGUAAACGAUGAGUACUAGGUGUUGCGGGUAUUGACCCCUGCAGUGCCGCAGCUAACGCAUUAAGUACUCCGCCUGGGAAGUACGGUCGCAAGACUAAA